rnacentral:rRNA from 1 species
CCCGACUGCUAUCAGAGUGGGACUAAGCCAUGCGAGUCGACAUAGCAAUAUGUGGCAUACGGCUCAGUAACACGUAGUCAACAUGCCCAGGGGACGUGGAUAACCUCGGGAAACUGAGGAUAAACCGCGAUAGGUCAUCACUUCUGGAAUGGGUAAUGACUUAAACCUAUAUGGCCCCUGGAUUGGACUGCGGCCGAUCAGGCUGUUGGUGAGGUAAUGGCCCACCAAACCUGUAACCGGUACGGGCUCUGAGAGGAGGAGCCCGGAGAUGGGCACUGAGACAAGGGCCCAGGCCCUAUGGGGCGCAGCAGGCGCGAAACCUCUGCAAUAGGCGAAAGCUUGACA